rnacentral:rRNA from 1 species
UACGAAGGGGGGCUAGCGUUGUUCGGAAUUACUGGGCGUAAAGCGCACGUAGGCGGAUUUGUAAGUCAGGGGUGAAAUCCCGGGGCUCAACCUCGGAACUGCCUUUGAUACUGCAAGUCUUGAGUCCGAUAGAGGUGAGUGGAAUUCCUAGUGUAGAGGUGAAAUUCGUAGAUAUUAGGAAGAAUCACCAGUGGCGAAGGCGGCUCACUGGAUCGGUACUGACGCUGAGGUGCGAAAGCGUGGGGAGCAAACAGGG